rnacentral:rRNA from 1 species
UACGUAGGGGGCAAGCGUUGUCCGGAAUCAUUGGGCGUAAAGAGCGUGUAGGCGGCUUGGUAAGUCCGCUGUGAAAGUCCAGGGCUCAACCCUGGAAUGCCGGUGGAAACUGUCAAGCUUGAGUCCGGAAGAGGCGAGUGGAAUUCCUGGUGUAGCGGUGAAAUGCGCAGAUAUCAGGAGGAACACCGGUGGCGAAGGCGGGUCUCUGGGCCGAUACUGACACUGAGGAGCGAAAGCGUGGGGAGCGAACAGG